rnacentral:rRNA from 1 species
UACGUAGGGGGCAAGCGUUGUCCGGAUUAUUGGGCGUAAAGAGCGUGUAGGCGGUUAGGUAGGUCCGUUGUGAAAACUCGAGGCUCAACCUCGAGACGCCGAUGGAAACCAUCUAACUAGAGUCCGGAAGAGGAGAGUGGAAUUCCUGGUGUAGCGGUGAAAUGCGCAGAUAUCAGGAAGAACACCCGUGGCUAAGGCGGCUC